rnacentral:rRNA from 1 species
AUUGAACGCUGGCGGCAUGCCUUACACAUGCAAGUCGAACGGCAGCACGGGUGCUUGCACCUGGUGGCGAGUGGCGAACGGGUGAGUAAUACAUCGGAACAUGUCCUGUAGUGGGGGAUAGCCCGGCGAAAGCCGGAUUAAUACCGCAUACGAUCUACGGAUGAAAGCGGGGGACCUUCGGGCCUCGCGCUAUAGGGUUAGCCGAUGGCUGAUUAGCUAGUUGGUGGGGUAAAGGCCUACCAAGGCGACGAUCAGUAGCUGGUCUGAGAGGACGACCAGCCACACUGGGACUGAGACACGGCCCAGACUCCUACGGGAGGCAGCAGUGGGGAAUUUUGGACAAUGGGCGAAAGCCUGAUCCAGCAAUGCCGCGUGUGUGAAGAAGGCCUUCGGGUUGUAAAGCACUUUUGUCCGGAAAGAAAUCCUUGGCCCUAAUACGGUCGGGGGAUGACGGUACCGGAAGAAUAAGCACCGGCUAACUACGUG